CGGGGUGUGGCGCAGCUUGGCAGCGCGCUUCGUUCGGGACGAAGAGGCCGCCGGUUCAAAUCCGGCCACCCCGA
rnacentral:tRNA from 1 species